GGCGCCCUGGGGAAAUGUAGUAGACUUUAAGUAUACGUGUGGAACCGGAGAGUAUACUAAGUACACUACGUUUAUCCAGGGG
rnacentral:pre_miRNA from 1 species